ACGGAGGGUGCAAGCGUUAUUCGGAAUUACUGGGCGUAAAGCGCACGUAGGCCGCUUUGUAAGUCAGGGGUGAAAUCCCACGGCUCAACCGUGGAACUGCCCUUGAAACUGCGAAGCUUGAAUCCUGGAGAGGGUGGCGGAAUUCCUGGUGUAGGAGUGAAAUCCGUAGAUAUCAGGAGGAACACCGGUGGCGAAGGCGGCCACCUGGACAGGUAUUGACGCUGAGGUGCGAAAGUGUGGGGAGCAAACAGGAUUAGAUACCCCAGUAGUCC
rnacentral:rRNA from 1 species